rnacentral:tRNA from 2 species
AUCCCCUAGUAGCUUAACUGGAUAAAGCGGCUCUCUAACUAAGGGUCAGAUUCAGGUUCGAAUCCUGACUGGGAUG